AAAGUCGUAACAAGGUUUCCGUAGGUGAACCUGCGGAAGGAUCAUUAAAAAACAUAGAAUUUCGUAUUCUUAAACCCCUGCAGUGUACUUGUUCUUGUUGCUUCCGUGGGUAGUAGGCCUUGUGCUUGCGGCCGCCUUCAUGGUGGGCUCGCGGGAGGUGAUCAUAAACUCCGUCUAUGUAUGGUAUCUGUCCGAGCUUGUUUAGUUCAUAAACGUUAAAACUUUCAACAACGGAUCUCUUGGUUCUC
rnacentral:misc_RNA from 1 species